rnacentral:rRNA from 1 species
CCGCCAGAAAACUACGAGCGAAAAGCUUAAAACUCAAAGGACUUGGCGGUGCUUCACACCCGACUUAGAGGAGCCUGUCCUAUAAUCGAUACUCCACGCUAAACCUCACCAUUCAUUGCCAAACAGCCUAUAUACCGCCGUCACCAACUUACCCCAUGAGGGCUCAACAGUAAAUAAAAUAGUUAAAUUAACUAAAACGUCAGGUCAAGGUGUAGCUAAUAGAAUGGCAGAGAUGGGCUACAUUUUUU